rnacentral:rRNA from 1 species
AGAGUUUGAUCCUGGCUCAGAAUGAACGCUGGCGGCAUGGAUUAGGCAUGCAAGUUGAACGGUAACAGAGGUGCUUGCACCUGCUGACGAGUAGCGAAAGGGUGAGUAGCCCGUGAGUAACCUGCCUUAAAGUCGGGGAUAGCCCUUGGUAACGAGGAUUAAUACCGGAUGUGGUUAUUAGAUCGCAUGGUCUUUUAACUAAAAUCUUUUUGCUUUAAGAUGGGCUCGCGUAUCAUCAGCUAGUUGGUAAGGUAACGGCUUACCAAGGCUUUGACGAUUAGGUGGUCUGAGAGGACGAUCACCCACACUGGGACUGAGACACUGCCCAGACUCCUACGGGAGGCUGCAGUCGAGAAUCUUCCGCAAUGCGCGAAAGCGUGACGGAGCGAUGCCGCGUGCAGGAUGAAGGCCUUCGGGUCGUAAACUGCUGUCACUCGGGAUGAAUUUUUGACAGUACCGAGAGAGGAAGCCACGGCUAACUACGUGCCAGCAGCCGCGGUAAUACGUAGGUGGCGAGCGUUAUUCGGAUUUAUUGGGCGUAAAGGGUUCGUAGGCGGUCAAGUAAGUUUGAUGUGAAAUCUCCAGGCUCAACCUGGAAACUGCAUUGGAAACUGCUUGACUAGAGUACUGGAGAGGUAAGCGGAAUUCCUGGUGUAGCGGUGGAAUGCGUAGAUAUCAGGAGGAACACCGAUGGCGAAGGCAGCUUACUGGACAGUAACUGACGCUGAUGAACGAAAGCUAGGGUAGCAAACAGGAUUAGAUACCCUGGUAGUCCUAGCUGUAAACGUUGUAUACUAGAUGUGAGCGGAUUGGUCCCGUUCGUGUCCAAGCUAACGUGAUAAGUAUACCGCCUGGGGAGUACGGCCGCAAGGCUAAAACUCAAAGGAAUUGACGGGGGCCCGCACAAGCGGUGGAGCAUGUGGCUUAAUUCGAGCUACGCGAAGAACCUUACCUGGACUUGAAAUAUACAGGACAACCAUAGAAAUAUGGCUUCUCUUCGGAGUCUGUAUACAGAUGCUGCAUGGCUGUCGUCAGCUCGUGCCGUGAGGUGUUCGGUUAAGUCCGGCAACGAGCGCAACCCACGUCAUUAGUUGCCAUCAGGUAAUGCUGGGAACUCUAAUGAGACUGCCCGUGUCAAGCGGGAGGAAGGCGUGGAUGACGUCAAGUCAGUAUGGCUCUUACGUCCAGGGCUGCACACGUGCUACAAUGGCUGGUACAAUGGGUCGCCACCCCCCGAGGGGGAGCUAAUCUCUAAAACCAGCCCCAGUUCGGAUCGUAGUCUGCAACUCGACUACGUGAAGUCGGAAUCGCUAGUAAAGGCGUAUCAGCAACGACGCCUUGAAUACGUUCCCGGGCCUUGUACACACCGCCCGUCACAUCAUGGAAGCCUGUUGCACCCGAAGUCGCUGACUCAACCCUUUAUUGGGAGAGAGGUGCCUAAGGAGUGGCCGGUAACUGGGAUGAAGUCGUAACAAGGUA